rnacentral:rRNA from 1 species
UACGAAGGGGGCUAGCGUUGUUCGGAAUUACUGGGCGUAAAGCGCGCGCAGGCGGCUAUCCAAGUCAGUGGUGAAAGCCCGGAGCUCAACUCCGGAACUGCCAUUGAAACUGUUUAGCUUGAGGAUGAGAGAGGUGAGUGGAAUUCCCAGUGUAGAGGUGAAAUUUGUAGAUAUUGGGAAGAACACCGGUGGCGAAGGCGGCUCACUGGCUCAUUACUGACGCUCAUGCACGACAGCGUGGGGAUCAAACAGG